GCAUAUCAAUAAGCGGAGGAAAAGAAACCAACAGGGAUUGCCCCAGUAACGGCGAGUGAAGCGGCAACAGCUCAAAUUUGAAAUCUGGCCCCCCGGGGCCCGAGUUGUAAUUUGCAGAGGAUGCUUUUGGCGAGGCGCCUUCCGAGUUCCCUGGAACGGGACGCCACAGAGGGUGAGAGCCCCGUCUGGUUGGAUGCCGAGCCUCUGUAAAGCUCCUUCGACGAGUCGAGUAGUUUGGGAAUGCUGCUCUAAAUGGGAGGUAUAUGUCUUCUAAAGCUAAAUAUUGGCCAGAGACCGAUAGCGCACAAGUAGAGUGAUCGAAAGAUGAAAAGCACUUUGAAAAGAGGGUUAAAAUAGUACGUGAAAUUGUUGAAAGGGAAGCGCUCAUGACCAGACUUGGGCCCGGUGAAUCAUCCAGCGUUCUCGCCGGUGCACUUUGCCGGGCUCAGGCCAGCAUCAGUUCGCCCUGGGGGAGAAAGGCUCUGGGAAUGUGGCUCCUCCGGGAGUGUUAUAGCCCUCUGCGCAAUGCCCUGGGGCGGACUGAGGUCCGCGCAUCUGCAAGGAUGCUGGCGUAAUGGUCAUCAGCGACCCGUCUUGAAACACGGACCAAGGAGUCGUCCUCGUAUGCGAGUGUUCGGGUGUGAAACCCCUACGCGUAAUGAAAGUGAACGCAGGUGAGAGCUUCGGCGCAUCAUCGACCGAUCCUGAUGUUCUCGGAUGGAUUUGAGUAGGAGCAUACGGGGCCGGACCCGAAAGAAGGUGAACUAUGCCUGUAUAGGGUGAAGCCAGAGGAAACUCUGGUGGAGGCUCGCAGCGGUUCUGACGUGCAAAUCGAUCGUCAAAUAUGGGCAUGGGGGGCGAAAGACUAAUCGAACCUUCUAGUAGCUGGUUUCCGCCGAAGU
rnacentral:rRNA from 1 species